rnacentral:tRNA from 1 species
GUUCAGGGAUGGGAAUUGAACCCACAGUGUUCCGCUUACCGGGCAGAUGCCAUGUCCACUAGGCUACCCUGGA